rnacentral:lncRNA from 1 species
UAUCUCCAGCAGGACCCUGUUUCUGGCCUGAGUGGUCGGAGUGGAUACCCUUCAAUGAGUCCACUCUCCCCUCAAGAAAUAUUCCAGUUGGCUUGUAUGGACCCAGCGGAUGAUGGACAAUUCCAGGAACAGCAAUCGCUGGUGAAUGAACGAGUACAUGACCUCAGAAGUAUCUCCUGAUCCCUUUCACCCGAAUUUUAGCCUCUUCUUACCUAGUUUUUCAUGUUCACUGAGAAUGUUCCCUCUUAAGGUUUCAAAGUCCCGGAGGGCUCGUCUCUCCUGUGGAGACAUAUUUAUUCAGGUUAAGCCCUUUUAAUUGACCAGAUAUUGAAGCAAAUAUAUAAAAUCUUGCCUAUGAUGG